rnacentral:misc_RNA from 1 species
GAUGAAGAACGUAGCGAAAUGCGAUAAGUAAUGCGAAUUGCAGAAUUUCCGUGAGUCAUCGAAUCUUUGAACGCACAUUGCGCCUCCCGGUAUUCCGGGAGGCAUGCCUGUUCGAGCGUCAUUAAUAACCAUCAAGCGCUCUUGCUUGGACUUGGGAGAUGAGUGCCUACGGUCCUCACUGCCGAAAUUGAAUGGCGGAUAGCCUUGGGGUGCCCAAGCGUAGUAAGUCUUCUUUCGCUUGGGUCCCGAGACGGUCCCGCCCCCAACCCCCACAUUCUAUGGUUGACCUCGGAUCAGGUAGGGAUACCCGCUGAACUUAAGCAUAUCAAUAAGCGGAGGA